rnacentral:lncRNA from 1 species
UCCAGGGACAAAGCGUAUCCAUCCAUGGUCUCCAGCGACAUCAUGUUUUCUCCAUUUCCUCCCAAACCUUACCUUCUUGUUCUAUGGUUUCUUAAGAAUCAGGUGGAAAAGGAAGAUCACAACCUCUUUUCUGGGGCUGAGAUUCUGUGCUUCAGCUUGUAAAUAUAACAUGUUUUUGUAGACCUUUUGGAUUUUCCAGUGCCUGGCAAACUUAAAUCAGAAGUAAUAGUAUAGUUAAGGUGAGAAAAGAAGGUUGUCUGGUUAAAGAUUUGAUAAGGGCUAGUAAGACUAAGUUUUAAUCAUAUCUCAUC